AUGUUGGCGUCAUUGUACUUAGUUAAGUCAUUCCCACCAUGCCUAGUUCGUGUAGGUGUUCAAGCAUAGCCUCAAAAUUAUAUCAUGUUGGCUAAACUCGUUGCCUACCUCACUUCAUCAUGUAUGUAUAUAGAACUCCUCCUGAGUGUAAGCACGCACUUUGUACUCCCCCAUUAUAGGGUGAAGCCGGUGUACGAGUCACAAACAAUCGGAGCCUACCACGGUGGAAGGCCACGAAAGAGUGUUCUAAGCACUCUCCGCUUAUCAACUUAAUAUUGGUUUGGUUGAGGGUUUUUAGGUCUCAUCACAAAUCAAUAUACAUUUUAAUCUCUAUUAAAACAAUUUUGGUCCUAUUACAACUAUUGGUCCAUAUGAUUGUUUU
rnacentral:lncRNA from 1 species